GACGAACGCUGGCGGCGUGCUUAACACAUGCAAGUCGAACGGAAAGGCCCUGCUUCUGUGGGGUGCUCGAGUGGCGAACGGGUGAGUAACACGUGAGUAACCUGCCCUUGACUUUGGGAUAACUUCAGGAAACUGGGGCUAAUACCGGAUAGGAGCUCCUGCUGCAUGGUGGGGGUUGGAAAGUUUCGGCGGUUGGGGAUGGACUCGCGGCUUAUCAGCUUGUCGGUGGGGUAGUGGCUUACCAAGGCCUUGACGGGUAGACGGCCUGAGAAGGUGGCCGGCCACAUUGGGACUGCGAUACGGACCAGACUCCUACGUGACGCAGCAGUGGGAAACAUUGCGCAGUGGGCGGAAGCGUGAUGCAGCAGCGCCGCGUGCGUGAUGACGGCCUUCUGGUUGUGAACCGCUUUCGCCUAUGACGAAGCGUGAGUGACGGUAAUGGGUAAAGAAGCACCGGCUAACUACGUG
rnacentral:rRNA from 1 species